ensembl:lncRNA LINC01471 long intergenic non-protein coding RNA 1471
AGAGGUGGGGGACAGAGUGGGUGGGGAGGGGAGCCGCCAUACAGUGGCCAGGACCAGCUUUGCCCAAGUGGUGGCAACCGCAUGACCACAGGAACGAUGGCGUGAGCCCCGUGGCAACCUGGAGGAAGGGCCAAGCCACUGGUGAAUAUGCUGCAAAAAAUAUGCUGGAACUUCUAUGAAUACCACAGGGUGUGAGAAGAAAACAUUAGAACUUCUAUUUUGUACCUGUGUUACUCCACAACAAGAAAGCAAUCAGCUUGAUCAAUGCCUACUGUAAAGACGGCACCGCCCUCCGGAGGUCCUUUCUCAGCCCUGGUGUUCGGACAGCCACAUCCCCUCGCAGCAGGGGGAGGCCUGAAGCAUAGAGGGGCCCAUGCAGGUCUAUUCUGUUUCAGCGAAUUGCCUGGGAAAUAAUCCAGGAUCCAUUUCGUGUGGUCAUCUUGUCUCCCUGGUCCCCUCCAGCCUUUCCUCAUCUUUUGUGACCUGGUCACUCUGGAAGGGCGCUGGCCAGUUAGUCCACAGGAUGGGCCUCCCCUGGGGCUUUUCUGAUGCUUCCUUAUGAUGGCACUGGCAUCCUGAGGGGGAGGACCACAGAGAGGAGGUGCUCCUCAUCACACCACAUGGGGGUCCAUGCACCAGUGCCACUGCUUUCCAGGGCUCUUCACCUUCAUCACUGGUGGAGGUGGCGUCUGCCAAGAAGCAGAAAGUUGAGGCUUAGAAGGUGCACGGCCCUACCUCUUCCGAGGUGCCCCUGCGGGCUGUCUACAGACCAGGCAGCACAUGCCUGAUAGCAGCUGCAUAAGGAAAAGCAGGAGCCAGCUCGUGCACAGUGGCCUCAAGUGUGCACUGGGCAUGUUCUCUGCCUCACCAUCCCUGUGUGACAGAUGAAGCAUGGCAAGCCAGGCUCCAGAGAAGCAUCCUGAGGACCAGUGUUCCUAGGGACCUCAUUCUUCUGACCUCAUUCCUACAACGUUUUGUCACUGCAAAGGAAAUCACCAAGGCCAGCAUGACAGCCCUCAACAGAAGCCAAGGCCAAGUCCUCGAACUUCCUAGUCUGCACAAUGUCUGUCUUUCAGACACUUCUGAUGAAACUGAAAAUGCCACCAGGGAGAAGCAGCUGAACUUCAAGGACCACAGAGGGCCAAGUGCAGGAGUAAGAGGCUGGCGUGCUGACAGUGGCCAAGGGCAUUGGAGGGAAGGACCUGUCAUCACUGGGCCAAGGAAGGAACUCCAGACUGCCUACUUCCAGAGGGCCUGCUGAGUAAGCCACACACAUCCUUGUGGUUUAAACAACUGUUCACCCA